UACGUAGGGUGCAAGCGUUAAUCGGAAUUACUGGGCGUAAAGCGUGCGCAGGCGGUUCUAUAAGACAGAUGUGAAAUCCCCGGGCUCAACCUGGGAACUGCAUUUGUGACUGUAGAGCUGGAGUGCAGCAGAGGAUAGCGGAAUUCCCGGUGUAGUGGUGAAAUGCGUAGAUAUCGGGAGGAACACCAGUGGCGGAAGGCGGCUAUCUGGGCUGCAACUGACGCUGAGGCGCGAAGGCUAGGGUAGCAAACAGG
rnacentral:rRNA from 1 species